CAUGUAGGGCAACAUAGUCAAAUUUGUGAACUCUAUACUCACCUUAGUAUAGGAUCAGACAUGAGCAAGAAGUUAGACAAUUUGCUCAUGCAAUUCCUUCGCAGAGUUUUGCUUCCAUUUUAAGACUUUGAACUCCAGUUUACCCUCUAACCUACGAAUAUGUCCAAAACGAACAAGUAUCAUACUGCCAAUUCUCAGAGCCAUUCUG
rnacentral:lncRNA from 1 species